GAUGAACGCUGGCGGCGUGCCUAAUACAUGCAAGUCGAGCGAACAGACGAGGAGCUUGCUCCUCUGACGUUAGCGGCGGACGGGUGAGUAACACGUGGAUAACCUACCUAUAAGACUGGGAUAACUUCGGGAAACCGGAGCUAAUACCGGAUAAUAUAUUGAACCGCAUGGUUCAAUAGUGAAAGACGGUUUUGCUGUCACUUAUAGAUGGAUCCGCGCCGCAUUAGCUAGUUGGUAAGGUAACGGCUUACCAAGGCAACGAUGCGUAGCCGACCUGAGAGGGUGAUCGGCCACACUGGAACUGAGACACGGUCCAGACUCCUACGGGAGGCAGCAGUAGGGAAUCUUCCGCAAUGGGCGAAAGCCUGAGGGAGCAACGCCGCGUGAGUGAUGAAGGUCUUCGGAUCGUAAAACUCUGUUAUUAGGGAAGAACAAAUGUGUAAGUAACUAUGCACGUCUUGACGGUACCUAAUCAGAAAGCCACGGCUAACUACGUG
rnacentral:rRNA from 1 species